rnacentral:rRNA from 1 species
GAUGAACGCUGGCGGCGUGCUUAACACAUGCAAGUCGAACGGUGAAGGCGGAGCUUGCUCUGCUGGAUCAGUGGCGAACGGGUGAGUAACACGUGAGCAAUCUGCCCCUGACUCUGGGAUAAGCGCUGGAAACGGCGUCUAAUACUGGAUACGAGCUGCGAAGGCAUCUUCAGCAGCUGGAAAGAACUUCGGUCAGGGAUGAGCUCGCGGCCUAUCAGCUUGUUGGUGAGGUAACGGCUCACCAAGGCGUCGACGGGUAGCCGGCCUGAGAGGGUGACCGGCCAAACGGGGGGUGGAGACAGGCCCCAGCCCCCUCGGGGAGGCAGAAGGGGGGAUUAUGGCACAAGGGGCGAAGCCUGAAUGCACCACCCCGGGGGGGGGGAGGAGGGUUUUGGGUUUGUAAACUCUUUUUGCCAGGAAAGAAGGAAAGGGGACGGACCCUGAAAAAAAGGCCCGGGCAAGCCCGGCG